CUUCACAGGUUGGAGCCCAAAGAUUAAACACAGCAGGAAGUGUAGGUCAUACAUCUUUUACACUUGGGGUUAAUAAGCUGCACCCAUCUUCAAGUUCUGGGCUUGUGAGACGCUUGUCACCUUCAAGAGUUGGAGCUGAGAGGCCAUUGCCUUCAGAAGUUGAUGACUUUACCAUGGGAAAUUCUCCUCGAAGAUUUGUUGAUGGGGCUUCUCCAUCUCAUCCAGUGCUCAAUUAUGGACCUGUUAGAGCCAUUGGAAGAGAUGAAGAGACAAAUGAACGGAGAAGAAAAAAGUAUUAUGAUGAUAACCAUAACCGACUGGAAGCAUCUAUUGCAUAUGGCCUAUCCAAUGGACGUGAGCGUCAAGGACCCAGAGCUUUAAUCGAUGCAUAUGGAGAUGACAGACGGAACAGAAUUCCAAAUAGUAAACUGUUGCAAAUCGAACGUGUAGAUUUUGAUGGCAUCGCCAAUAAAGUGGGUCCAAGAUCUUGGCAG
rnacentral:misc_RNA from 1 species